UACGUAGGGUGCGAGCGUUGUCCGGAAUUAUUGGGCGUAAAGAGCUCGUAGGCGGUCUGUCGCGUCGAUCGUGAAAACUUGGGGCUUAACCCUGAGCUUGCGGUCGAUACGGGCAUGACUGGAGUUCGGCAGGGGAGACUGGAAUUCCUGGUGUAGCGGUGAAAUGCGCAGAUAUCAGGAGGAACACCGGUGGCGAAGGCGACUUCCUGGACCAAUACUGACGCUCAGGUGCGAAAGUGUGGGGAGCGAACAGG
rnacentral:rRNA from 1 species